rnacentral:rRNA from 1 species
UACGUAGGGUGCGAGCGUUGUCCGGAAUUAUUGGGCGUAAAGGGCUCGUAGGCGGUCUGUCACGUCGGGAGUGAAAACACGGGGCUUAACCCCGUGCCUGCUUCCGAUACGGGCAGACUAGAGGUAUGCAGGGGAGAACGGAAUUCCUGGUGUAGCGGUGAAAUGCGCAGAUAUCAGGAGGAACACCGGUGGCGAAAGCGCUCUACUGGGCCAUAACUGACACUGAGGGACGAAAGCUAGGGGAGCGAAAGGG